rnacentral:rRNA from 1 species
AGCGCCACAAGUGGUCAUCGCGAUUAUUGGGCCUAAAGCGUUCGUAGCCGGUUUGGUAAAUCUCUUGUGAAAUUGUUCGGCUUAACCGAACAGCGUGCAGGGGAGACUGCCAGACUCGAGACCGGGAGGGGUUAGAGGUAUUCUGUAGGGACCGGUAAAAUGGGAUAAUCUACAGAGGACCACCGAUGGCGAAGGCAUCUAACCAGAACGGAUCUGACGGUGAGGACGAAAGCUAGGGGAGCGAACC